rnacentral:rRNA from 1 species
GGAUGAACGCUGGCGGUGUGCCUAAUACAUGCAAGUCGAACGGGCUCUUCGGAGCUAGUGGCGGACGGGUGAGUAACACGUUGGUACCUACCCUCUAGUGGGGAAUAACUGGCCGAAAGGUCGGCUAAUACCGCAUAAUACCGCAAGGUUAAAGCAGUAAUGCGCUAGAGGAGGGGCCUGCGUCCGAUUAGCUAGUUGGUAGUGUAAUGGACUACCAAGGCGACGAUCGGUAGCUGGAUCGAGAGGUUGACCAGCCACACUGGGACUGAGAUACGGCCCAGACUCCUACGGGAGGCAGCAGUAAGGAAUCUUCCACAAUGGACGAAAGUCUGAUGGAGCAACACCGCGUGCAGGAUGACGGCC